AACGGUAAUAUCGGAAAAAAUAAUGUAAUAGUAGAUUACUGUACCAGUGAAGUAAUUUAAUAUCUCGUAUCCAGACGAGUAAAAGUAUCCGAGCGCGUCAGCCCGAGGUACGUUUACACAUCGUGAUACGAGAUAU